GGAGAGUUGGCCGAGUGGUCGAAGGCGCACGCCUGGAAAGUGUGUAUACGGGAAACUGUAUCGUGGGUUCGAAUCCCACCGUCUCCGCCA
rnacentral:tRNA from 1 species